AACUAACGCUGGCGGCGUGCCUAACACAUGCAAGUCGUACGAGAAAGUCCCGUUCGCGGGAUGAGUAAAGUGGCGCACGGGUGAGUAAUGCGUGGAUAAUCUGCCCUUUAGUUGGGAAUAACGUGCCGAAAGGUGCGCUAAUACCCGAUAAUACUGCACAACUACUGUUGUGUAGUCAAAGAAGGCCUCUGUUUACAAGCUUUUGCUGAAGGAUGAGUCCGCGUACCAUUAGCUGGUUGGUGGGGUAAUGGCCUACCAAGGCUACGAUGGUUAGCUGGUCUGAGAGGAUGAUCAGCCACACUGGAACUGAGACACGGUCCAGACUCCUACGGGAGGCAGCAGUGAGGAAUAUUGGUCAAUGGGCGCGAGCCUGAACCAGCCACGUCGCGUGAAGGAUGACGGCCUUAUGGUUGUAACUUCUUUACAGGGAAUAAAGUGAGUCACGUGUGAUUUUUGCUAUGUACCCUGUGAAUAAGCAUCGGCUAACUCCGUCG
rnacentral:rRNA from 1 species